CCGGUUCCCCGAGAAACCGGGACACGGGACACCGGGACACCGGGACACCGACCCCGCUCCAGUCGCGGGAGAGGCGUUCGGAAGGAGAGGGAGAAGCAGAAGUUUUAACCAUCUUCCCAUGGCAUCUGCCUUUUUGGAGGAAGGAGAAUGCACCCAAGAGCAGAAGCAGUGAGGUUCACAGGGGGGAAAAUGAACCCAGCAGUCCAUCCAAUCCCAUACCUGCCUGAGUACAGGAAGAGACCUCAUACAAGCCAGAAUGCAUCUGGGCUUGCAGCUCUUUUUAAUCAUAUUAAGUCCUAUUCAGAGUUAAUGGUGAGCUCAGUGAGAUGAGAUGGUCUCAGCAAUGCUGAAGAAGGGAUGAAGAGAAUUGGAAGGCAGAGCUAUUUCGAAACAGGAUUCUUCUUCUUUCCAUAAUGCCCAAACAUGAAGACUUUUAAACUUCAUUAGAUCCUGCCAUCAAUGACUGAGCCUCCCUGAAAUCUUCUUAUCAGUUACUGCCAAGAUGAGAAGGAUAACAGGAAGGAGGAGUGCUUAAGUGGCUUUAAUGACAGUUAAUUUCAUCUAUUUAUUAAAUGACAGGUUGUUUUUUCCUCAAAACUCGAUUGUCAUGACAAGAUGCUUUUGCAAGUCAUCUUUGUAAAAUAAAACUGACAAUUUUUAGGCUACAAAGAGCUAUUGUAUCUUUCUAUACAAUGUUGUCAUUAUGGUAAACCUCUGGAAAGUCUUUAUUUUUGAAGUAAUAUAACUUGCAUACUUCAUUCAUUUAUUUGAAUAUCUGUUGAAUGCUAUGUGAAAAGUUUCUUGCCAGAGUUCUUUUAUUCAAUGGGUUAUUCUUACAAUGUUCAAUUUAUUAUUGUCUAAAUUACUGUUGCCUUAGCCUCCUGCAAAAAUGUUUCCUUUUGGUAAUUCUUAAACAAAUAAGGAAUGAAUGAGGUUUUGUCCUCGGCGUGUUUUGAUCAGCAUAUUUUGCCUUUCAGUAAAAGCAUCUUCAGUUUUCAAAAUGACACAAAGAAAGGUGCUUUCCUAUUCCCCCCCCCAACAGAACAUCUUUUGUGCAAUGAUUUUUUUAAUAUGUACACUGCCAAGAUGCAAUUACUGGAA